rnacentral:rRNA from 1 species
CGUAACGCGUAUGCAAUCUACCCUUUACUGGGGAAUAGCCCGGAGAAAUUCGGAUUAAUGCCCCAUAUGCCCACGGAAUCGCAUGGUUCAGUGGGGAAAGUUCCGACGGUAAAGGAUGAGCAUGCGUUCUAUUAGUUUGUUGGUGAGGUAAAAGCUCACCAAGACUACGAUAGAUAGGGGGCCUGAAAGGGUGAUCCCCCACACUGGUACUGAGACACGGACCAGACUCC